AUACCACAAAAGGUGUUGGUUAAUAUAGACAGCAGGACGGUGGCCAUGGAAGUCGGCAUCCGCUAAGGAGUGUGUAACAACUCACCUGCCGAAUUGACCAGCCCUGAAAAUGGAUGGCGCUGGAGCGUCGGACCUAUACCGGGCCGUCACCGCAAGCUGGAUCGCUGGCUAUUUUUUGGUGGUGCGAGCAGCGCAUGGCCGGUUGCGUGAACGACAAUCGGUCGCUGUCUUGCGAAGUCAUGAUCCAGGCAAGGAGGCGGUGGCGAGUAGGAGGGUCGCCGUGGUGAGCGUGGAAGCCUCACACGUGAGUCUGGGUGGAACCACCAUGGGUGCAGAUCUUUGUGGUACUUGCAAAUAUGCAAGUGAAAAACUUAAAGGUUGAGGUAAAUAAGGGUUCCAUGGGUACAGCAAUUUGCCAUGGGUCAGACGGUCCUAAGCGAUUCGGUGUCUCGGUACAGAGACGGUACAGAGACAUGGGGUGCCUUGCAUACUUCUGUCUGUGUGCGUACGUGUGUGCGCCUGCAACCGGCAGCCACCCGGAGCGAAAUGAAAUCGGGUGUUUGGAUGGGCCGUCAAUGUGUGCACUUUUUCGGCGUUCGCAGCUGUGGUCCGUGUCUGGGCGCUGCUAAGCACGAUAACUCAAUCAAUCUCGGAGACAUCGACUUGAGUUUCGGGAAGAAAUUUCUUUUCAUUAUAAGGAGUGCUCACCACCCUGGAAUCGGGUGUUCCGGAGAUAGAGGUAUCGCUGGCGUAAAGCACCAGCUCUCUUUUGUUGUCCGGAACACUCUGGUCAGUCCUUGAAAAUCUGAGGGAGGCAUUAUGAUGUUCGUGGCAGGCCGUACCCAUUUCCGCAUCAGGUCACCAAGGUGAAAUGCCCCUGGCAGUACAAUAAUUUUGGAACGGUAAGUCGGCAUAUUUUAUCCGUAACCUUGGAAAAAGGAUUUGCUCUGAGAGCCGAGUCAGACACGUUGGCCAAAGAAACGUGCCUGCUUAGCCUGUGGCUGGCUAGUCGGCUAGCUGCUCUAU
rnacentral:ncRNA from 1 species